UUGUGUUUUUGGCGUGUGUUUACUGUUCAUACUGUUCAUUACUGUUCAUUAGCGAUAGGCGCUUUUAAGUAUAAUGAGAUAUAUAU